UGGUUGUAGAACAAUAUACAUAUUUGCUCCAUGAUUUUUUACGUAUAAUUUGAUGUUAUAUAUUUUUUAAUAUUUGCCUUGAUAGGUUGUAUAAUGUUUAUCCUUGGGGUUUAAUGAACCAAUCAAUAAGUUUGAAACCGUUUAAAUAUUUGAAAUGACAUAAUUACAUACCAGAAGGUCAGUACAAGUAAGUUAAAGGGAGGAAGGAUUCAUACAUUAAUAUUUAAUUCUCUUGAUGUUCUAGUUCAUUGGCCCCCUUCAUGGUAACUGCAAUACUUUAAUUUUGCAGGGCAAAUUUACUUUAGUUUGGUGAAACGUGAUGCAACAGCUAUUGUUUAAUCUACGUCAUUUGAUUAUCUACCAACCAAAACUUCACCAAACUUUAUCGAUUUGCCCUUCAAAAGAGAAGAAUUGCUGUUAUUGUGAAAGGCCCGUUAUUAAUUUCAAAAACAGCAGUACUAUGUAAUUUAACAGUCAACUUCUCAGUAUUCAUUUGUGUCUGUAGUAUUUUUGAAUUUUUUUUGUUUCUAUAAUGUGUCAUGCUGUUGAUCAAGAUGCCAUGAAAAAGAUUUGUUGAAAUGUUGAAAGUAGAACGUUUAUAUUUGUAAUGAUUUGUUGAAACUUUUCUUGAGUAUACAAUGUGACCUUGAAGAAACAGGAGAAUAAAAUUACCUUAAUUCAU
rnacentral:misc_RNA from 1 species